AUGAGAAACUGGAAUGAAGGAGUCUCUCUUAGAACACUGAGAGGACCGCGAACGUAUCGACCAUAUAGCAGUUCAAAUGGGGAGAAUCCAGUUGAUGACUGCGGAACCUCUCGAUAUGCGAAAAGCAGGUUUAUCCUUACCAGAGGAUAGGUGACCUCUUCACCGUGAACACACCUCAGAACUACGCUCUGCCCCGACUCAACCACUUGGCCCUCCAGACACUCUCGUCUCACCAAAGACUGGGUGCUUCCGGUAUCUAUCAGUGCUUUGUACUGCCGUCCAGCUAUAGUAACCCUCACCAU